rnacentral:tRNA from 1 species
GUUUAAAUCCCUCCUGUACUA